AUUAUAUAUAAAAUAAAUAAAAAAUAAUGUAAAUAAAAAAAUGUAAAUAAAAAAGUACUGUUAUAACUUUACUUCAGUUUGUAUGUAUGUCAGCGCUUAUUUUUUAAUGUCAAGGUUUUUGUGGAGGAAGACAAGCUGAUCAACAUGCUCAGCUUUCAGGACACUUCUCUGUGCGGUUACAAUGUCUCCUGCAGUGGAGAAAACCCUCUCUGCUGAGACGCUUGUGCCAGGAAUGCACAAGAAACUCUUUGCUACUCUGGAUAACUGAGGGUACUCAUGUUCGUGUUCUUUCCACCAACUGAGGGGAUUUUCUGUGAGUGGCAAAGGGGUUUCUUCUCUGAACCUCUUAAUCUCAGCUGCAGCAACAUCAUGUGUGGAUUUUUGUGCAGCAUUGUCUUUGGUAGAGGCAAAUGUAGCUCCAAGCAAGUCUAACAAUGCACAUGAGCCCCUUGGUCUUUUUAUGGGUAGCUGGGAGGCAAGGGCAGGGACAUUGUCAGCUGAGUGAUAAACCUCCUUUAACUGAUCAGUCUCCUUCACCAGACUGUCAAUCUGCUCUAGUUGCUGAAAAACAUCAAAGCAUCAAAUCAGUAAAAAAAAUCAAGUUUUAAUUUUACAUUAAAUAAAAACAUUUCUAAAAAUAGGCUGAUUUAUUAAUUAUUUACUCACAUUCUGUUGCUUCUCUAUGGCAGCCACCACGGCAGCAGUUAUUUUGGAGUAGGUGUCAUUGGUCUCUGCUUCAGAGAGAAAGGGCAGAUCCUUAAAUCGAGGAUCAAGGGCUGAUGCCAUGCAGAGUGUCUCCUUCUCACUGCCAUAUCUCUUUCCCAGAUCUUGUGCUAUAACAGUCUUUAUUUCUUUCACUGUCUGUGUGUCUUCUGAGCUUUCUUCUGUGCCCAUGACAAGCUUGGCAUGAAGUGGGGCAACGAUAGCCAGAGUGGGCAUGCUCUCCUCUGACAUCACCAAGGUGGCAUCUUUCAUUGGCUUGAGUGCCUUAAGCACUUCUUCUGCACACGUGAUGUCAGUCUCGCUAAGUGUGAAGACAUCCUUUUCACUCUUUCUGACCUCUGUUGAAAGGAGUGCUGCGCAGAUUUUUGUUUGUUGUUCUAAAAAUCUUUCUAUCAUGUCGUAAGAGCUGUUCCAUCUUGUGACAACGUCUGUGAUCAAUCUGUGUUUUGGUAGCUGGAGCAGAUCUUGUUUUUGUUUUAGCUGGUGGCUAGCUAUAGUGCUGCGUCUGAAAAAGGUUGUAACGAGUCUGAUCCUGCUGAGUAGUCGCUCUACUUUUGGCAAUUUAGGUGCUUUCUGCGAGGCAAGAUUGAGGCUGUGUGCAAAACAUCGUAUGUGGGUCAUGUCUGCACGUUUAGCCGCGAUAUUCAUAUUGGAUGCAUUGUCCGUAACAAUGACUGGAUCUUUCGCCUCAAGUCUCCAUUCAGUAACGGCUUCCUUCAGUAAAUCUGCAAUGUUCUCUCCUGUGUGGCUGACAUGCAACGCUCUUGUCUGUAGAACAUAAGUGUCUAGCUCCCACUUCUCCGUUAUAUGAUGCGCUGUUAUCGUUACGUACGAUUCAGUCGCCCUCGAUGUCCAAGCAUCGCAUGUCAACGCAACCCUGUCAGUCGAGCUGAGAGCCUCUGCCACCCUCGCCUUUACCUCCUUGUACAACCUGGGCACAGCAAUGUCAGUGAUGUGUUGUCGGGAGGGUAAGGUGUAACGAGGCUCCAUUAUAUUCACCAUGUUACGGAAGCCUUCGUUCUCUACAACGCUGAGAGGGCGCAUAUCUUUGCAAAUAAAUUAAAGUACUGACUGAGUUAUUUUGGCCGUUAUUUUUAGCCGUUUGUGGUUCUGCUAACUCCACAUCAGAAUGGUGUCUUGCUAAAUGCGUUCUCAGAUUCGUUGUGUUGCCCGAAUAUUUUAUUUUGGCGUUGCACAAUUUGCAGAUGGUAUGGCUCUUAUCGAUCUUUGUUGUGCCUUCUUCAUUGUGGAAGCCAAAAUGAGCCCACACUUCAGCUCUGUACACCCCAGGAGCCGGAUUAACGCGUUUAGAUUCUGCCAUCGCCAGCAGGGAGCUAAUGCAGCGCUGUACUUACUUGCAGUGUACUGGAGGCGCCGAAUGGAUCAAGAUAGAUCACAGCACUGCCACCUCGCGGCCGGGUGAAUAAACAACACAAAAGAUCAAGAUGGAUCACAGCACUGCCACCUCGCGGCCGGGUGAAUAAACAACACUACCGGGAGUUUAAUAAAAACACACUUAAUAAAAAAAAUCGAUACAGUGUUUUUGAGAAUCGCGAAACGUAAUAUCGCAAUAUUCAAGUGUAUCGAUAUUUUCUUACACCUCUAACGGGGUGUGUAAGUAAGUGCAUGUCCGUUUUUUAAAAGUUCCAGUACUGUGUGUAUUCUAGUAGAGUUGUCCUGUUUUCCUGCAGGAGACUUGAGAUAACCAUCAAACAAUCCACCAGGAAGUGGAAGAGCACUGACUCUGACAAGGAUACAGCACCACCGAAGAAACCAGAGAUUCCUUCAGUGGUGUUCCUGUAAACAGAACAAUGCUCAUGGUGUGUCCCGUUGCUCCGAUUAAGAGGCGUGGUCGCAAGCAUCGCCAUAGGCCGAACAAAAACGGCAAUCUGUCCUUUAAAACAAGCUCAACAAGGACAAGCGGAGCUUCGUUCAUUAAAUGGAGAAGACAAAGAUUUUUGAUGAACUGUGCAGAUGCUUUUCACUCCUAAGAUGCCCUGUUCCUGAUGUUUCCAGCCUGGCUCUCCACUGCCCGCGUUGUACUCCGGCUCUGCAACCCUGCACCGAUCAACGUUAACACACUCAAAAUCUGUUUCUGUAUUAGACAUAGCUCUAUAGUUUGUGCCCAUCACAUUUUUAUAUUCAUUAAUUAGUACCUGUUGUAUUAGCUAUAGUUCACAUUUGUUCUCUGUACGGUUUUGUUUUGUUAUUUGGAAGAGGCCGCCACAAGUUAUCCAGCAUACUGAUAUAUUUUGGCUCCGUGCUGCUACAAUAGUGAAUAGUCAGCAGUACAAGUUUUCAAAACAAGUACGGACCCUGUGUGCUAAUUAUCUCCCCCAUUCCAGUUCUUAUCAGAAGCAGAAAGAACAAACAAGUCCUAUCUAAUUAAUGAUUUCAUUACAAAUUAUGGGCUUGAUUUUCUGUUUUUAACAGAGACAUGGUUCAAUUCUUGUAGUGCUGAAAGUGUAUUAAUUGAGUCGGAUCCACCAAACUUUAACUUUUUAAAUGUCUCACGUACCGGCAAGAAAGGUGGAGGUGUAGCUAUGCUGUUUGAUGAUACAUUCCAGUGCAAGCAGUUAUCACUUGGUGACUUCACAUCUUUUGAGUAUUUAGGUGCAGUUUUAAAAGGGGCACCAAGAAUAUUACUAGUAAUUGUCUACAGGCCUCCAAGGUACAAUGCUGAUUUUAUUGAGGAUUUUACAGAUAUGCUGUCUUUUAUUUCUACUGAUUUUGAUUAUUUUAUUAUUGCUGGUGAUUUUAACAUUCACAUUGAUAAUCCCAAGGAUUAUUCUGCCAGAGAACUCUAUGAUGUAUUUGACUCUUUUGAACUCUCUCAGCAUGUGACUGGAAGCGCACACUGUCAUGGUCACACCCUCGAUUUGGUUAUAUGGAAGGGUCUCAACAUAUCAGCCUCUAUUAAGGAUGUUGCACUGUCAAAUCACUACUGUGUAUUCUUUGAAAUGUGAAGCCAGACAGAUUGGGUAAAAGAAAAGUCCAAAGAAAUGACAUGACAGCUGAACUUUUUGUGAGCAAAGUGUGCUCUGCACUAGAGGUGGGCGGAUCGAUCCAAAUAUCGAUAAUAUCGAUACCAACGCUGGUAUUGGUAUUGAGCAAUACUCGUGUAAAAAUAUCGAUAUUCAAGCUUUUUUCUCUGCCGCACGCACUGACUGCUGCGCAUUAGGAUUCACCACAGUCUACUCUCUGGUCUCUUGUUGUUGCACAUGCGUCACAUGGCUCAGCAAAGCCAGCCAAACCGCCACCCAGGUAGGCUCAGCCUGGCCCCGCCCACUCAGCGCUCUCCUCGAGUCGACACGCCUCUACCUCAGGAGAUUAGUGUUGAGUAAUAUUUUUUUACACUCUGUUUAUUUAAGAAAAACUUGCAUUUGAAUUGCACUGAAAGGAAGACAAUUCCUUAUUUUUUAUUGUUUUUCCAAAUGACAAUUAUAUUAAAAAAAAGAAACAAAGAAAGAAAGAACUAGAAAAGAUGUCUAGUGAGGGGAGAAUUUUUUUUUUAUUUUUUAAUAUUUUUUUACUUUAUAUUUAAACUUUGUUUUGUUACUGUUCCAUUGUUUCUAAACAAAAAAUGUUGAUUGUGAUACUAAAGUAUUUUGUUAUCACUUGUUUGGUGAAAUUAUAUACUAGGUGUUUGGAUCAUUUGGAUCUAUAAAGCUUAAAUAUUAAAAAGUAUCGGUAUCAGUAUCGAUAUCGGCAAUACUGGCCCUGCGUUUACUUGGUAUCGGAUCGAUACCAAAAUUCCCGGUAUCGCCCACCUCUACUCUGCACCAUGCAAACCAUCAGACUCUGUGGAUACUCUGCUGGAUAGUUUUAACUCAAAAACUGCUAGUGUUUUAGAUGAGAUUGCACCAGUUAGAGUUAAAACCAUGCCAUACAAGCAGAAAGCUCCAUGAAGAAAUGAUACUGCAGUUCAGCUCCAAAAGAGAGAAUGCAGAAAGGCAGAAACCAAGCUUCAUAUUCACAAAGAAAUGUUUAAAGAUAGAUUGUGUGAUAACAAUAAAAUAAUGUGCACAUGUAGACAAUCCUACUUCUCCAGCAUUAUUAACAAUAAUAUUAACAAUAGCAAAGUUAUUUUCACUGUAGUUGACAGACUAACUAACUUACCUACAUAUAUGACCCCUGAGCUAGUUUCAACUGAGAGAUGUAAUGAGUUUGCUAAAUUUUUAAAUAAUAAAUCCAGCCAUCAGUACAUCUAUAUCCACCAACAAGCCCAUGUGCUCUCCAAAACCAUGCAAAAGCAUCAUAGUCAACAUGUCCCAGUUUAGCACUAUUAAUGAAGACGUUUUAAUUAAUACAGUGAGUCACCUCGAAUCAUCCACUUGCAGCCUUGAUACAUUACCAACCAAGUUUUUAAAGAAUGUUUUUUACUCAAUAUCAGCAGACAUUCUUCAAAUAGUAAAUACCUCACUCAUGUCAGGCGAUUUUCCAAAUGCAUUAAAAACAGACGUUGUGAAGCCUCUCUUAAAAAAGAAAAAAUUAGAUACAAACUUAUCAAACAAUUACCAAAGACCAAAAUCUAAUCUACCAUUCAUUGGAAAAAUAAUUGAAAAAAUUGUCUUCAAGCAAGUUAUGCACUUUGUCCAUUAAUAACUGUCCAGACCUAUUUCAGUCAGGUUUCCGGCCCAAUCAUAGUACUGAGACUGCGCUAAUUAAGGUUAUCAAUGACAUUCGUUUAACACAGACUCAGGAAAAAUGUCUGUUCUACUACUGCUUGAUCUUAGUGCUGCCUUUGACACCAUUGACCACAACACUCAUAGAUAGACUUGAGAACUGGGUUGGACUUUCUGAAACUGUCCUAAAAUGGUUCAGUUCAUACCUUCAGGGAAGGAAAUACUUUGUUGAAAUGGAAAAUAAUGUUUCUGAGACUGUGUUAGUGACCCGUGGUGUACCCCAGGGUUCAAUUCUUGGGUCACUUAAUUUAUAUAUAUGAUUCCUCUGGGUGAAAUCAUGCGUGACUGUGGGAUUUCUUACCACAGCUGUGCAGUUGACACUCAGAUCUACAUGGCCCUCUGCCCAAACGAUUUCUGUCCCAUUGACUCACUGUGUAAAUGCCUUGAACAGAUAAAUAAAUGGAUGGGACAGAACUUUCUGCAGUUGAAUAAAGAUAAAACAGAUUAUUUUAUUUGGGAAUAGUAAUGAGAGGCACAGACUAGCUGCCUAUCUGGAUUCAAAAAGCCUAAAAUCUAAAGAACUAGUGCGUAAUCUUGGUGUACAAAUGGACUCUGAUCUCACUUUUAACAGUCAUGUCAAAGCAGUCACCAAAUCAGCGUUUUAUCACCUCAAGAACAUAAAUAAGAUCAGAGAUUUUCUGUCUAAAGCAGACCUGGAGAAACUCAUCCACGCCUUUAUUUCUAUUAGGGUUGAUUACUGUAAUGGACUCCUAACUGGACUCCCAAAAAAGACCAUCAAACAGCUUCAGCUGAUUUAGAGUUCAGCAGCCAGAGUACUGACUAGGAGUAAAAGAAGGGAGCACAUCACCCACCCCAUCCUUAAAUCCCUACA